UAAAGAAUAAGGCAAAUUCAUCGAAAGGUGAAGACGCAAAGCUAUAGGGACUAAAGUUGUAUGACUAUGUAAGCCAGUUACCGAU
rnacentral:ncRNA from 1 species